rnacentral:lncRNA from 1 species
UUUAUCAUUAUAUUUUAGAAAAAAUUUCAAAUACCAUCACUACGAUUUCGUACUUUUUUAUUUUAGUAUCUUGUAAUUUAAAGUGUAUCAAUUUAGUAUCCCGUAAUUUUAUUUUUUGCUUUUAAUUAUUCCUUCCACUAAUUUUUUUCGUCAAAUCAGUGACAAAGCUAAAACUAAAUAGUAUUAAAGUGAAUAUUCGAUAAAUUUAAAUGAGGUAUUUAAAGUUUUUGUAUAUAAUUUAAUAAAAUGUUAGCAAAGGAGCUGAUGAAAAAAAAAAAAAAAAAAAAACAUGGUACUAAAUUAAUAAACUUUAAACUACAGUACACUUUAACUAAAGUGAGAAAAUGUAAAAUUACAUAGUGGUAUUUUAAGUUUAUCUUAUAUUUUAUU